GUGAAAAUAUUUUGAACUGGCAAGUCUGGUCAAUUAAUAUGUUCUCGGGAGACAUUUUCAAAGUUGAAAGAUCUUUUGUAAGUGCCAAGUGAUAUUAAUCAUUAGUACAAAAGCAGAUCCUACCAGUAGAGUAAGAGACACCCAAAUUUAUGUGUGGUCCAGUGUAUCACUGGGUAGUGAUGUUGAGGAUGCCAGUGCUUCCAGCUGUGAGUGUAAAAUUUAGCAAAUGAGUGCACCCAAGUAAUGAGGCAAGUAGAGUCUGAACAUCCUCUUUGUGUGGUGCAGAAAUCUGGUCUUGUAGGAGAGAGUUGCCCUCAGUCUAGCCAGAGUUCUGCUCAGAGGAUAAAAGUCUAGCAGGUGCCCAAAGGGAAGAUGUGCAAUAUAUAGCCUAAUAGCCUGGGUUGAAUCAGGAAUAACAAGAGAAAUGUAGCUAAUGUUUUACCAAAGGAUAAGGCAGGGCCAUAAAUGAGAGAAAAAUGAACCCUGAACUCAGAGACAGAAACAUACAACCUGUCAGGAAGUCAAGUCCAGCGUACGUCUGCAAAGUACUUCAGAAGGGAGUGAUGAACGGUGUGAAGUCUUGGCAGCUUUGAGAGUGCAGGCUGUUUGCUGCUUGGUGGAGGAUAACCUGGUGUUUUACAGGCUUUUCAGAGAGUCAGGUAGUUCCCUACUCUCUGUGAACCUAACAGUGUCUGUGCCUUCUCCAGAUUUGACGCUACUGCCAAUGUACCUGAAUAAGCAGACAGCUCUUCCUGGAGAAAGGGAAAACUUGAAGGGCUUUUGAAAGCCACUAGAAAGGUAUUGUUUACAUGAUGCAUUUUCCCUUUACCUUCAACAGGUAAAUUUGCUACUGAACUGACGCUUUAACAAUGAUAAUUUUUAUUUGGUAGUCUUAGAAUAUCCCUUGGAGCUCAAGUUCAGACAAUCAAUCUAGAUUUUUGCCAUUUGAAAUUCAGGUUUUGUGACCUCACCUAAAUUUGCUCCUGGGAGUAUGCUUGGAAAGUUUAAAAUUGUGCUUUUUAAUUUUCCCCUUCUUUUUCUAUCCCAGUUCAGACCACAUGUCCCUCUGAAUUUUUCCUUAAUUUCCAAAUUGCCAUAAUAGAUUCAUCAUCUGCACAUCUACAUUACUUGUAUUUAAACUGUUUCCUUACACUGACCAUGUUUUACCCUGAUGCAAUGAAACCCAGUGCAGUCGAAGGAGAGAAUGUGAGUACUGGAGCUGGACAGGAAUGGGUGUGAAUCCUGUGGCAGCUGUUUACUGGGUGAUCUUAACAUACCAAUAUUUUCUUCUUCAUAAAUCAUAUUAAAAAUAAUACUGAUGAUACUAUGACCUACCUUAUCUGGUUGUUGGGAUAAUUUAAGGAAAUUAUACAUUGUAUUACUCUGUUCUCAUAUGGGUAAUGAAGACAUACCAAGACUGGGUAAUUUAUAAAGGAAAGAGGUUUAAUUGACCCACAGUUUCACAUGGCUAGGGAGGCCUCACAAUCAUGGUGGAUGGCAAAGGAAAAGCAGAGACAUUUCUUACAUGGUAACAGGCAAGAGAGCUUGUGCAGGGGAACAAGGUCUGAUUUAUAAAACUAUGAGAUCUUGUGAGACUUACUCACUACCAUGAGAACAGUAUGGAGGAAACCACCCCCCAUGAUUCCACUAUCUCCAUCUGGCCCCACCCUUGACAUGUGGAGAUUAUUGCAAUUCAAGUUGAGAUUUGGGUGGGGACACGGCCAAACCAUAUCACAC
rnacentral:lncRNA from 13 species